CACUACCAUUGUAAAUGAUGAAUUCAUUUCAUUUUUUUCAUUGGGGCUAGUUUAUUUCCAAUUUUAGGAUAGUUCCAUAACUUCCUAAGGUCAGUUCCAUAAUUUUCUAAGUUCAUAUCCAUAACUUUCUAAGUUAUAAUCUAUGAUCACGAUCGUACUUUGCCAUUGUGGCCCAACAUGUUAUUUUUUUGAGUCUUCUCUUGUCAAA
rnacentral:lncRNA from 1 species